rnacentral:lncRNA from 1 species
AGUAGUAGUUCCAAAUAAGAAUUAACAAUGAGGAGCUAGUCACAAGUAUCGAUUGAAGAUAUUCCAGAAUGGAUGAGUCAGCAGCAACAACAAUUGGAACUUCGGGAUGUCCAGAUCUUGAAACUGAAAGCUCAAGUCCAUGUACUGGGUGAAUAUAAUGAAGACCUUUCAGCUUAGUUGAGGAAGGAGUCGAUGGACAGACUGAAAGAGGAGGAAGAAGAUUAGGAGUUGGAAUCAGAUUUGGUCGAACCUACAUUCAAUACUGCGGUAAUUGAUUAAUUAGAUAGGCCAGAGGGAUCACAAUUUUUGUAGAAUUUUGUUAGAUAAUUUUUUGAUAGGUAUCAAUUGAGUGUUUGCGAGGAUGCUGCACAAAUAGAAGUGAGACUAUGUAGAAUAGAUAUUAAUUCAUUUCUCAAAGAUGUUAGUAAAAUAUAUUAAUAGUGCAUAUAAUAAGAAAUUUAGGAGGAUGGAUGAGUGAUUUAGUUCUUAAAAGUGGUUAAUUACAGAAUUACGGUUAGAAUCUAGAGAAUCAGGAGAAAGUAUAUAGGAGUUGUAGAAGUUAAUUAGGGUGCCAUCAUUGUGAUAGUGUAAGCCGGGGUAAGCUUGGUACUACCUCUUUUCUUUUAUUGUUAUUUUUUUUGAAUAAGAGAAUUGAGAGUUUCUAAAUAUUGUGAAGUGAAUUAUGGAAUGGAAAUGUGAUUGGUAUUAUUUGAGAAGAAGAAAGAUUGAAUAUUGAAAUCUGAUUGUAGUUCAGUAGAGAGAAUGAGUCUGUGUUUCUGUGAAACACCGUAAUGUGAAUGGCAGUUCUGUGUGAAGAAUUCUAGUAAUUGGAAUGAGGGUAAUUGUGUGUUGAAAGCUGUAAAGGCGCAGUAUUACAGUUGGAGAUUAUGAGGGUGAAUAUAUUGAUAGAAAUAGCAGUUAUUGGUAUGAUUGAAUUACUAUAAGGAAGAAAUCGAUAAGAUGAAGGAAGAGAU